rnacentral:misc_RNA from 1 species
CAAAUUCAAGCUAUUUCCAGAUCGUAUCAAAAUCACCCUUCUUGUUUCAAUUUCGACAUUACGCCAUUGAUUGACACAAAAUCUGGUAAAAGAAAGCUGCUUAUCUUCGAUUUUUAUCAAACUGAAAGUGCAUCAUUCUAAUCACCCUCAUAAUGUAUUGAGUAUGGAUAGCAAUUUCUUGCCUUCCAUUUCUUCAAGAGCUAGCCGAAGGGCAGACCGUAAUCAUCUUCAAUCUAAAGAUGGUAAGGAAGGCCUUGCAAGUGGG